UAGACUUGCGGGUGUCCGCGUGGUGGGGCUUUCUCAGCUUGCGUGUAGUAUAGACGCCAGGAAGGCCAGAAACCGUGGGGUUGCGGUUAGGGCGUGUGGACUGCUUGUGAAGAGCUGGAGUAGAGCGGGGCGAGCGGACCUGAAGAGGACCACGGGGACCUUGGUGGCUUUGUGGAAGUUCCAUAGGAAGUCAAAGUUUGAGAGCAUCAUUGCAAAUGAUCAUCCCCUUCAGCCUGAACAACUUGUGAAAGGCUUCAAAAGUGCAAAAAAUGCUGGAUAUCAAACCAUUCUGAAUACCCAUGAAUUCAGCCUGAGAUGUCUGAAAACAUAUCUGGAAUGCUACAAGCAGGAAAAUGACAGCUUUUUGCAAGGAUCAACUGUGUCUACAACGGAGUACUACUCAGCUGUAAAACACGGUGAAAUCUUAUCGUUCUGAACAACAUGUAUGGAUCCAGAGGGUACAAGGAAAGGAUGAUGACCGAGUUAAGUGGUUUAAACAAGAUGGAGGUUAAAAGAAGAGAAGAAUGAUGGGACCCUCGGGAGGAGGCAUGAUUGUGGCUGACAUUCGGAAAUUGGUGGUGCAUCCAUGAGGUGGAGGGAGAGGCUGCCUGUGGGAAUCAUGGGAUCUGCAGCGCGGGAGCCCCACGGACAUGCAUAGAGCAUCUGUGAAGGGACGCUGAAAACCUGGACUUAGAAUUUCAUCUGACAGGGCACAGCCCUGAGAGCUUGACUUAUCUUGGUUGUCUAUAACUGAGGAGAAGCAGUAUGUCUUCCUUCCUCAUUAUUGCCUGGCCUUCCUUCCACUGAGGACCUUGAUAAAGCUGUACGCAAAGACCACUAGGGGGCAGGUGUGAGGAGCCCUCCUGCGCCCGCCUCUUCUGUGAACUGAGCUGCUUUGCUUCACCUAGCUACGCCAGGCACGGAGUUCUGUUUGCCCAGAGGCUGAUUGCCUUCGGAGGUAUCCUUUCUGAGAAGGAGAAAUGACAGAGCUCGGAGCAGCCCCUGCGCCUUGUACUGCAGAUAUGAGCCUCCCCCUCCUUCCCCUUCAGCAUACAUCUUCUUUCCUAAACCCCAUGUCUUGUCAUCAUUGGGGGAAAACUUUAUGUUGAGAGAUGACAAUUCACUGUGUGAAACGCAGAGAAAGCCAGAAGUCAUCUACCAGCAAAGGCUUCUAGACUCAGAGUGUAACAUAUUGCCUUUUUAAAUGACUUUUGUGUGUGUUUUGGUCUUCCGAAGGUGGGCCUGAGUAUUGUCACCUUCAUGAGAAAUGCAUAUGGUGUGAGAGAAGGUGCAGAGUUUUUGGACAGCUGGCCAGGAGGUGGAUCAGAGAAGCACUGGCUCCCGGGUUCUGGCAGUCUGGAAUCCGAGAGCGUCUGCUGCAGUGACUGCAUCGGCCUGUGAUGGACGAGGCGGUGCAGAAGAGAAGGAGCCGUCACAGGAGGAGGGCCCAGUUGAGUCAGAGACUCUAGUCUAGUCCGGAUUCUCAGGCACUGAACAGGAGAGAUCCCUUACCUGUGAAAUCUCUUUACCUGUGACAUCCUAAUGGCACUUGCCUGAUGUUGGAUUGUAAUGCAGAAUGUUUUCGGGUUCUUGGGCUUGGGGCACCGUAGCAUUUCCUUUUUGCAACUGUCUAUUUGAGUGAAAAGCAAUUCAGGUGGUUUUCAGCACAAAUUAUUGUUAGAAUAACCAAGUGCCAUUUUAAUGGAACCACAGGUCAAGAAAUUAGGUUUAAAUGAAAUCCGAAGAGAAUAUUGUCGGAUGAUUUGACCAAUUUGACCAUCAGGGUACAUUGGGCUGUUGAGGGGAGUAAGGAGGAUACCUGCUUCCUUGAGAGUCUAAAAAUUUUUUAAAAUUUCACCAGCCACCUGCUCUAGAUACUGUUGCUAUUCCUCACUCAGUGGCAAGAGGCUGAACUAGUUGGUGUUCAAGGUUCUCUUGGCUUGAGGACUUGAGUGGUCCCUGAGUGCUGUAUCAUAAAUUAGUGGGUGUUGUGUGUAUUGGGAGCUCUUGGGGGUCAAGACUGCAGACUGUCAUGGGCUAUAUUGUGUCCCCCCCCCCAAAAUUCGUAUGUUGAAGCUAUAAUCCCCAAUGUCAUGGUAUUUAGAAAUGGCACUUUUGGGGAAGUAAUCAGGUUUGGAUGAGGUCAUAAACAUGGGGCUCUCAUGAUGGGAUUAGUGCCUUAUAAGGAGGGACACCAGAGAGCUUGCUCCCUCUCUUUCUACCAUGUGAUGCCACAGUGCAAAGGCAGCCAUCUUCAAGCAGGGAGGAGGGUUCUCCCCAGAAACCUCAAUGCUGGCCCCCUGAACUUGGACUUCCAGCCUCCAGACUGUGAGAAGAUAAAUUUCAGUUGUGUAAGUCACCCAGUCUGUGGGAUUUUAUUGUUAUGGCAGCCCGGGCAGACUAAGACAGUGCCCAGGGAGGUUGAGACUGCUGUGUCGGUAGAGGGGUCUGAGGAUCUGUGUCAGUAGGUUUUUGUUAAGGUGGUGGACAAGUUUGGUUACCUCCUCCAGGCAGCAGUCCUGGAGACUUUGGUGGACUCACAGUCUUGGGAACUUUUCUAAUUUUGGUGGGAUGUUCCAGGUAUCCUCCCCCUUCUACCCUGUUGCCUCUUACUUAACUCCUGCUAAGAAAAAAAGAUCAGAAGAAUUUAACUUUGUCCUUAAGAGAUUUCUGUAUAUCUUGAGAAAAAUACAAAACAACCCAAUAAAUGGCCCUAUGUCCAAACACCCUGCUAUGCUCCCAAUAGCAUUCUUUGAUGGCUAAAGACAUAUGUCAUUUGGCUUCUCAAGAACCAGCAGUAUAAAACCUGGAAUUCAGGGGCCUCCUGUCAGGAACUGUACCCUGUUUUCCAGUUCACAAGUUGGUCUGCCAGUUUCAUGGAUGGUGGUAGAACACACACGAGUCCUGGGUCAGAGGCCAAGGACUCCAGUCUCACAGCAGUACUGGUGGCCCAUAAUCAGCAUUUUCCUGUACUGGUUCAACUCAGCUUUCACAGGAGAAGAAUCUUAGGGCCUCUGAAUUUUUGUAGUGGGGAGUCAGCAUACCUGCCUUUCACUCCAGAGGGAGAGCAAAUCUCUGUCUUUCAAGGCUGUUCACUGUACAAACAUCCUUGAAAAGAUAGUCCAGAAAAAAGGCCACCAGUGCCUUUGCUCAUGAGAUAUGCAGAAAUGUGAUAGUCCCGUGAAGAACUGUCUCCCAACAUCUCCACAACCCAUGUCCCACCUUAUCUGUCCUCACCCCUGCCUCACAUUGCAUGCUCAGUCAUGACAAGCUGCUCCUCUCCCUUCCUCAUGAGGCUGCUUGUUCGUGAUGCUUUCUCCCCCCCACCCCCCGAUGCUUCUUGCUCAUCCUUUAGGGCUCAGCCUGAGUGCACUGUCUCUGGGCUGGGUUAGCAGGCCCUCCCUGGCAAGCUUUCUAUGUAAGACCAUGAAUUCCUUGAUGAAGAGCACAGGGUGUGGCACACUUUUCCAGAGUGAAGAGCCCCUCCUUGGUUUCUGAAGACCACCUACCGUCAUUGCCACUCUACUGGAUCCUAGGCAAAUUCAGAUGUGGGUGUGGCUCAUCUUUCCAUGGGAAUAUUUCCUGCCCUAGCCAACUGAAAGCCCUUCUACCCCCGAGGAUGGGGCUCUGUGUUGGACACCUUGGCAGAGUGACAAGAUGGUAUUGGGCACACAUUAAGUCCUCCCCAAUGGGUGGGCUGUUUGAUGCUGUGACUCACCAGGGAUGGUGCUGGCCAAGCAGAUACGUGCCGCUGAUCUGUGCUGAAGUGAGGUCCUCUCUCGGACAUUGAGGUCGCCUGCUGGACACAAUUCUCUGAAAUUGUAUUGACCUGUGGACUCCUUUGCAAGUAGCUAUAAUCUCUGCGAGAAGCAGCCUCUACAAUAUACCAAAUUUGUUGAGGUCUGGGUUUAGAUGUUUUCUGUUAAUUAAAGAGCUGCAUUUUCUCAUUUU